AUACAUUAAUCUUGUGGCUUUCUACUAAGUGGUUCAGCUGCUCCUGUUCUUAUACUGUCAAAAGUAUACAAACCUCAAGAAACAUCAUACAACUUUGCUGCAGCUCAGGCAUUAGAAAUCUGACUUUUAUUGAAAGCUUUGAUGAUUAAAUGAAUAUUUCCUUUCAUAUAAAAAGCUUGAUUUAUUUGUGAUAUUGACAUUUUGAUUUGUUGAAUUUUUGUUGCAAGGGAAAGUGGCUGGCCACUAACUUAUGACUUGCUUACUUGUGAGUGAGUUAUGCUAUAAUUUCAAUUCUCAUCAAUGAAAUAAUAAACAGUGCAGCGGGC
rnacentral:sRNA from 1 species